GAUGAACGCUGGCGGCGUGCCUAAUACAUGCAAGUCGAGCGAACAGAUAAGGAGCUUGCUCCUUUGACGUUAGCGGCGGACGGGUGAGUAACACGUGGGUAACCUACCUAUAAGACUGGAAUAACUCCGGGAAACCGGGGCUAAUGCCGGAUAACAUUUAGAACCGCAUGGUUCUAAAGUGAAAGAUGGUUUUGCUAUCACUUAUAGAUGGACCCGCGCCGUAUUAGCUAGUUGGUAAGGUAACGGCUUACCAAGGCAAUGAUACGUAGCCGACCUGAGAGGGUGAUCGGCCACACUGGAACUGAGACACGGUCCAGACUCCUACGGGAGGCAGCAGUAGGGAAUCUUCCGCAAUGGGCGAAAGCCUGACGGAGCAACGCCGCGUGAGUGAUGAAGGUCUUCGGAUCGUAAAACUCUGUUAUUAGGGAAGAACAAAUGUGUAAGUAACUGUGCACGUCUUGACGGUACCUAAUCAGAAAGCCACGGCUAACUACGUG
rnacentral:rRNA from 1 species